GCACUCAUUUGCCCCUCUUUCCUUUUUGGUUCUGGAUUUGCAGGUGAGCUGUUUUGGGGUUUACCGUCAAUGCUAACAUGAUCAAAUUAGCAGGUAGAUCUUUGUUGAGUGUUUUCCUCAAAAGUACAGAGAAUGAAAACUUGUUAAAUCAGUACAGAGAAUGAAAACUUGUUUAUUCAAAAUCAAAUCCAUCAAUCUGAUUUAUUAGCGUAAUUUAUUUUUGUUUUACUAUCCUUGUGGUAUGAAAUAUGGGGGUUUGACCCACAUAGUUAAUAGGAAAUAUUUUAGCGGUGGAUUAGCGUCUUGG
rnacentral:lncRNA from 1 species